rnacentral:SRP_RNA from 1 species
GCUGGGCAUGGUGGCUCAUGCCUGUAAUCCCAGCAUUCUAGGAGGCUGAGGCAGGAGGAUCGCUUGAGCCCAGGAGUUCGAGACCAGCCUGGGCAACAUAGUGUGAUCUCGUCUCUA